rnacentral:lncRNA from 1 species
AGUACACAACAUGUAUAAUUAAAGAGAUGGUUGUCAACAACCUUAUACCAGACUAGCUAGAUCUAAGAAAACAAAAAAUGCAAGAAUGAAAAUGGCUCAUACAAACAACAUUCCUCUUUUAGAAACUCCCUUUAUAACACACAUAAUCAUUCAUCCUCAAGGGCUUUUUCCUCACACGUUUGCUUAAGUCUUGUGGCCUCAUGAUUUCACUAGUUCCAUUUGGGUCCUCUAUGACAUUGGCACAUGUUGUCUCUACCUGAAUUGGGCUCAUAUCACAAUUGCUUUUGACUGAGUCAACAGAAGGAGCAUCACCAACAAGCUUGAACUCUAUUAGUUCCUUUAAAUCUCUCCAACCUUGUUCCAA